rnacentral:rRNA from 1 species
AUUGAACGCUGGCGGCAUGCCUUACACAUGCAAGUCGAACGCGAAAGGGGGGCAACUCCUGAGUAGAGUGGCGCACGGGUGAGUAAUGCAUCGGAACGUGUCCUGUAGCGGAGGAUAACCUAGCGAAAGCUAGGCUAAUACCGCAUACGUCCUACGGGAGAAAGUGGGGGAUCGUAAGACCUCACACUAUAGGAGCGGCCGAUGCCGGAUUAGCUAGUUGGUGGGGUAAAAGCCUACCAAGGCGACGAUCCGUAGCUGGUCUGAGAGGAUGAUCAGCCACACUGGGACUGAGACACGGCCCAGACUCCUACGGGAGUCAGCAGUGGGGAAUUUUGGACAAUGGGGGAAACCCUGAUCCAGCCAUGCCGCGUGAGUGAAGAAGGCCUUCGGGUUGUAAAGCUCUUUCGGCCGGGACGAAAUCGCACGCGUGAAUAUCGCGUGUGGAUGACGGUACCGGAAGAAGAAGGACCGGCUAACUACGUGCCAGCCGCCGCAGUAA